rnacentral:misc_RNA from 1 species
UACAGAAGCCUCAAGCGUUACCCGGAUUUACUGGGCGUAAAGGGUGUGUAGGUGGCUAUGUUAGUCUCUCGUUAAAACUUCGGGCUCAACCCGAAGCUCGCGAGGGAAACGGCACAGCUCGAGGGUGUGAGAGGUUACGAGAACUCUCGGUGUAGGGGUGAAAUCCGUUGAUAUCGAGGGGAAUACCAAAAGCGAAGGCACGUAACUGGCGCAUUCCUGACACUGAAACACGAAAGCGUGGGUAGCGAACGGG